rnacentral:rRNA from 1 species
GUCGAGGGGUAUUUAUCUUCGGAUAGAGAGACCGGCGCACGGGUGCGUAACGCGUAUGCAAUCUACCUUUUACAGAGGGAUAGCCCAGAGAAAUUUGGAUUAAUACCUCAUAGUAUAUAGACUCGGCAUCAGGAUUAUAUUAAAGUCACAACGGUAAAAGAUGAGCAUGCGUCCCAUUAGCUAGUUGGUAAGGUAACGGCUUACCAAGGCUACGAUGGGUAGGGGUCCUGAGAGGGAGAUCCCCCACACUGGUACUGAGACACGGACCAGACUCCUACGGGAGGCAGCAGUGAGGAAUAUUGGACAAUGGGCGCAAGCCUGAUCCAGCCAUGCCGCGUGCAGGAUGACGGUCCUAUGGAUUGUAAACUGCUUUUAUACGAGAAGAAACACUACUUCGUGAAGUAGCUUGACGGUAUCGUAAGAAUAAGGAUCGGCUAACUCCGUGCCAGCAGCCGCGGUAAUACGGAGGAUCCAAGCGUUAUCCGGAAUCAUUGGGUUUAAAGGGUCCGUAGGCGGUUUAAUAAGUCAGUGGUGAAAGCCCAUCGCUCAACGGUGGAACGGCCAUUGAUACUGUUAGACUUGAAUUAUUAGGAAGUAACUAGAAUAUGUAGUGUAGCGGUGAAAUGCUUAGAGAUUACAUGGAAUACCAAUUGCGAAGGCAGGUUACUACUAAUUGAUUGACGCUGAUGG